CUCCCCUUUAACUUCUGCAAGAUGAGCAGGUCAGAAUUACAGCAGAGACACCAGAAGAAUCAACUACGGCUCAAACUGUGAACCUGCAAACUGUGCCUGGAGUCAGGAAGGGAAGGAGCUGGAAAGAUGGCUUCCCGUGGAAUAUAUACAGUGUCGGAGCAGUGGGAAAUGCUGUAUUUAAACAUAAAGGUACUUUAUAAAGUGUCUUGCCCAGGGUCACUGUGAUAUGUAGACUGGGUGGACCCAGGAUCUAAUUCUGGAAAAUACAGCAGCUGUAGCUAGCAGACACAGUGUGUGACAAACAGUUGUGUGUUUGAUGAUAUUUGUUGAGCUGAUGGAAAUGUUUAAUUUAAAAUGACCUUCCACAUUAAAGUGUUAUGCUGAAGUACACUGACCGCAGUUCAUGGGCAUCUGCACAGAAAACACUGUUCCAAAUGGUUCUGGCUCACUUUAACCCCUCUGUAUAGCACAAUAAAAGAUUUUGUAAAAUUA